ACUCCUACGGGAGGCAGCAGCUAGGAAUCUUCCGCAAUGGGGGAAACCCUGACGGAGCGACGCCGCGUGGGCGAUGGAGGCCGUAAGGUUGUAAAGUCCUUUUCCUGGUGAAGAAUGACUGUGGGAGUGGAAAGCCCAUGGGAUGACGUUAGCCAGGGAAUAAGCCCCGGCCAAUUACGUGCCAGCAGCCGCGGUAAUACGUAUGGGGCAAGCGUUGUUCGGAGUUAUUGGGCGUAAAGGGCGUGUAGGCGGCUCAUCAAGUCUGGUGUGAAAAUGCAGGGCCUAACCCUGCAGAUGCGCUGGAAACUGGUGGGCUUGAGUUCCUGAGGGGAAGCUGGAAUUCCAGGUGUAGGGGUGAAAUCUGUAGAUAUCUGGAAGAACACUGGUGGCGAAGGCGAGCUUCUAUCAGAGGACUGACGCUGAGGCGCGAAAGCGUGGGGAGCAAACAGGAUUAGAUACCCUGGUAGUCCACGCUGUAAACGAUGUGCACUAGGCGUGGGGCACGUCCGUGCUCUGUGCCGUAGCUAACGUGAUAAGUGCMMCSSCCUGGGGGAGUWUGCYYCGCAAGGGUGAAACUCAAAGGAAUUUGACGG
rnacentral:rRNA from 1 species